rnacentral:rRNA from 1 species
GAUGAACGCUGGCGACGUGCCUAAUACAUGCAAGUCGAGCGAACAGACGAGGAGCUUGCUCCUCUGACGUUAGCGGCGGACGGGUGAGUAACACGUGGAUAACCUACCUAUAAGACUGGGAUAACUUCGGGAGACCGGAGCUAAUACCGGAUAAUAUAUUGAACCGCAUGGUUCAAUAGUGAAAGACGGUUUUGCUGUCACUUAUAGAUGGAUCCGCGCCGCAUUAGCUAGUUGGUAAGGUAACGGCUUACCAAGGCAACGAUGCGUAGCAGACCUGAGAGGGUGAUCGGCCACACUGGAACUGAGACACGGUCCAGGCUCCUACGGGAGGCAGCAGUAGGGAAUCUUCCGCAAUGGGCGAAAGCCUGACGGAGCAACGCCGCGUGAGUGAUGAAGGUCUUCGGAUCGUAAAACUCUGUUAUUAGGGAAGAACAAAUGUGUAAGUAACUAUGCACGUCUUGACGGUACCUAAUCAGAAAGCCACGGCUAACUACGUG